rnacentral:rRNA from 1 species
AUUGAACGCUGGCGGCAGGCCUAACACAUGCAAGUCGAGCGGAUGAAGGGAGCUUGCUCCUGGAUUCAGCGGCGGACGGGUGAGUAAUGCCUAGGAAUCUGCCUGGUAGUGGGGGAUAACGUCCGGAAACGGGCGCUAAUACCGCAUACGACCUGAGGGAGAAAGUGGGGGAUCUUCGGACCUCACGCUAUCAGAUGAGCCUAGGUCGGAUUAGCUAGUUGGUGGGGUAAAGGCCUACCAAGGCGACGAUCCGUAACUGGUCUGAGAGGAUGAUCAGUCACACUGGAACUGAGACACGGUCCAGAGUCCUACGGGAGGCAGCAGUGGGGAAUAUUGGGCAAUGGGCGAAAGCCUGAUCCAGCCAGGCCGCGUGUGUGAAGAAGGUCUUCGGAUUGUAAAGCACUUUAAGUUGGGAGGAAGGGCUGUAAGUUAAUACCUUGCUGUUUUGACGUUACCAACAGAAAAAGCACCGGCUAACUACGUG